CAGCAGCCGCGGGAAUACGGAGGGUGCAAGCGUUAAUCGGAAUUACUGGGCGUAAAGCGCACGCAGGCGGUCUGUCAAGUCGGAUGUGAAAUCCCCGGGCUCAACCUGGGAACUGCAUUCGAAACUGGCAGGCUAGAGUCUUGUAGAGGGGGGUAGAAUUCCAGGUGUAGCGGUGAAAUGCGUAGAGAUCUGGAGGAAUACCGGUGGCGAAGGCGGCCCCCUGGACAAAGACUGACGCUCAGGUGCGAAAGCGUGGGGAGCAAACAGGAUUAGAUACCCCGGUAGUCCCUGUCUCUUAUAC
rnacentral:rRNA from 1 species